rnacentral:rRNA from 1 species
UAGGGAAUCUUCCACAAUGGACGCAAGUCUGAUGGAGCAACGCCGCGUGAGUGAAGAAGGUCUUCGGAUACGUAAACUCUGUUGUUAGAGAAGAACACGAGUGAGAGUAACUGUUCAUUCGAUGACGGUAUCUAACCAGCAAGUCACGGCUAACUACGUGCCAC